UACGUAGGGUGCAAGCGUUGUCCGGAAUUAUUGGGCGUAAAGAGCUCGUAGGCGGUUUGUCGCGUCGGCUGUGAAAACCUGGGGCUCAACCCCGGGCCUGCAGCCGAUACGGGCAAACUAGAAUUCGGUAGGGGAGACUGGAAUUCCUGGUGUAGCGGUGAAAUGCGCAGAUAUCGGGAGGAACACCAAUGGCGAAAGCAGGUAACUGGACUAUUACUGACACUAAACUGCGAAAGCUAGGGGAGCAAACAGG
rnacentral:rRNA from 1 species